ACCUCCUCGAGCCCUUCUCCCGGGGUCCAGCAGAUGGACGCUCGUCUCCUACCUGUGCUUCCAGAUUUCCUUCAUACAGUAAAUGCAGGUAUGCGGUCCCACACCCGUUCUUUCUUAAAUAAGUACUGUGGUUUCAUAACUCAACACACCCGAGAUAUCACAUGGUACAUGACGGGACAAGAGCGCAAACACUGGAGAUUAAACACUAGAACAGCAGUGAUGGCCAUGCACAUCCUGAUGUCAGAGAUUACACAAACUGCAUGAAAACUCUGUUGUUGGAGGUGAAUCAGUACAGUGUGCCCUCUCUGCCACACGCCACUCCUGUGUCUCGUGCUAGAGGGUGGGUCUCUGCACUGCAAAGUUCAUUCAUUCCUAGUUCUGUAGACACACACUGUCUCACAGGGAAGCAUCCCCCGAUUUUACAUGUAUCCUAGUUUACUUACUCUCCACAUUCAGAGCCUUUCUGCUCUUACUGUGUUGUAGCUUUAUCCUCUCUGUGCCUGCCCUUGGUCCUGUAAGACUUUGAGGUGGAAGCCUGUGCUGGCCACAGUCAGGCCACAUCCUUCACCCUCAUUGCCACAUUUCUCUCCGUAGGGUUGUUUGUCUAUCAUUUCCCACCAGUUUCAUGAAGAGCAUAUGGGAAAACUGCGUAUCUGUAAUUUGUUAAAGAAGAAAUGGAGUUUCUUUUAAAUUGCACAUUGCGAAUAGCACAAGAUAAUGAAUAUUUUCCAGGGUUUACAAACCAUAUAUAUUUUUUCUCUCUUUCUGCAAGCUCUUCGUCCAUCCUGUACCUUCUCUGUCAGAUUGUUAAUCCCUUUUAGCAGUUUUUAUUUCCCACAGUUCUUCCUGCCUAGGAGAUUUGCCCCUGUCUUUGGUAUGAGCCAUUUCUUUUUCAGUUCUCCCUUUGAGUCUUCCUCAGACCUUGAACAUUGUCCUGACCUGUUCAUCCUGUUCAAAUACACUCUUGUGAGCUGUGUAGCUUAUAAGUGGUAGAAACGUGGUUUACACAGACUUGGAGUCUCUGCAGUAUAUAACCUGGACCCCCACCGACUCAGGGUCUGGUGAGUGAAGGCUUAGAGUUGUCUCUGAACCUACUUUAUUGAAGGUUCUUGAAUACUUGGUUCCCUCGCUUCUAGCCCACCAACCAGAGAGGACACAGGAUGUGAGAGAACAUUUGUAAGUCCACACCUGACAGGGAUCAGUGUCCAGAAAGCAUAAAGAAUUUACAUAAUUCCACCAGAUUACUCGGUGUUACAGAUGCUGUCAAAAUGGCUGAGUAGACAUCAUUUUCAAAGUACAUUUAUAGUCGACAAUCACUAAGUGAAAUGAAUGAAACGCGAAUCCAUUGAAACAUGACAUUUACAGUCUCAAGUAGACUUAGGGACAGAAACCCUUGCAAAGUGUGUAUAGAAUUUCUCUUUAGGUAAUAAAAGUACUGGGAGUCAUGUUUUGUUGUGUCUGGCCAGUAGAUCACAACCUGGGUUCUAGCCUGGAAAGGCAUUUUGGAAACCUGGAAGAGAAGAGGGGCUGGGCUGCGCGAGAUAAGGAAGGAACCAAGACAAAGCUCUCUGCUCAAGGUUUAAUUUUUACUAUUUCGGCACUCAGUUAUAAAGGAAGGGGGAGGGGCCCAAUUCCCGCCAAAUAAUCUUGGGGUCCAGUAGCAGGGUGAUCACGUGUGUGGCUCUAAACAGCAAAGCAGCAUGUUCCAGCAGUGGGCGUGGCAGAAUGAUUGAGCGGGAAGCUCCACCGCUGAGCAAGCAGGUUUCAGGCUGGGGGAGGGGAGACUACAUCUCCUCCCUGUUGUUAAUAAAAAUAAAAAUUAAAAAAAAAAGGCUGGCCUGAGGCAAAAAAUUUAUUUAUGCUCAAUAGUUCUCCCUGAAUUCUUGGGGCUAAAGAAAAAACCUGUCUCCGUGGGAUUUCCUAACUUUUUUUUAUGGCAAAUCUUAAUGCACUAUUGUGAAUAUAAUUGUCAUUAAAUUAUAUGAUCAUAUUGGCAAAUGCUUGCGUGUUUGCCAUAGUAAACUGUAUAAGCGUGCAAUGAGAUACAACCUUGCAUCUGCUAGGAAGGCUGACUAGACAAGAAAGGUUAUCACAGAUAUUGGUAAGGAGCUGGACAGAUUGGAGCCCUGUGCACUGGGAGGAGCUGGACAGACUGGAGCCCUGUGCACUGGGGGGGGGGAAGGAGCUGGACAGAUUGGAGCCCUGUGCACUGGGGUGGGAUUCAAAUGGUUCAGCUCUUUCAAGAAGCGUUUGUCAGUUUCUGAGAAUGCCAAAGUGUUGCCUUAUGACCUUUCAGUUUUCCACACGGAGGUGUGUGCUCCAGGGGAAUUACGUGUAAUUUGCGUAUAAUGUAUAGUGAUGUGUUUAGCAGCAUUAGGCGUGAUGACUCAGAGAUGAAGACAAGGUAAAUUUACAUGUUUUAAUUUUUGGUUUAGAAAGAAACAGAAUGUGGUAAGUGAAUGGAGCUUCAGGCAAAAUAACAUAUCUAACCCAACACAGAGGCAAAGACGUAUGCUGUCUUUAUGUGUGGGUGCAUGCACACAUGCAUGCAGAAGUCAGCGGAGGAUGCCAAGUGCUCUCUGGCUCCCUGCCUUCAGUUUCCCAAGACAACGUUUUUCAGUGACCUUGGAGCUAGGAUUGCAGCUGGAUCAGCUUCAGUGAUUCUCCUGCCUCCGUGAGCUCAUGGCCAUGACUGUUACACAUGCACCCAGCCACAUCCACAUUUUAAAAUACAAACCAGGAAUCCAGGUUCAACCUCUCAUAUUUGAAUAGCGCGUGCCUUUUCCCACUGGGCUAUCUCUGCAGCCCCCAUAUGAACCAUUUCAUGAUACGUGUUACAUGGCUCAGUAGGGAAAGGUACUUACAGCAAAGCCUGGCACACUGACACACUGGCACACUGACACACUGGCACACUGGCACACACCAAUACAUGAACAGGAUCCGAGCAUAGAAAGGAGAAUUCCAGAGAGAUUGUCCUGCAGGUCAAGAUGCUUUCUGCAUGAGUGUGGCACCCAAGCACAGUCCCUGGAGCCCAGGAAAAGCCAGAAGGAGAGAGCUGACCACUUAGAGUUGUCCUCUGGUCUUCACAUCCAUGCUGCGGCCUGUGUGCCCACCCGUGCAUGUGUGUGUGUGUGUGUGUCUGUGUCUCUGUGUGUGUGUGUGUGCGCGCGCGCGCGCACGCAUGUGUCAGGUGCAUGCCCUCAGCAGUCAUCAUGACAAUCAUAAUACUAUAGACAUUAGAAGAAGUAAUGACCACAAAUGGGCAAGGAGUUGAUAUUUGAGUGUAAUUGAAGUUUUCUAUAAAUAAGUUGUGUAUUGAUGACCUCACAAUUCUGAGUAAAGUAACAAAUUGGUUGAAUUUUAGAGUGUGUUGAAUUUUAUAGCAUACCUAUUAUAUUGUGAUAGAAUUGUU
rnacentral:lncRNA from 1 species